rnacentral:lncRNA from 1 species
ACUCAAAGUAUAUUUUUAAAAAGGACAGUUACAAGGAGAAAAUCACAAAUCCAGAUUCACAAAUUUCAACUCUGAGUUACAUUACAGACAUCCAGGCUUGGGCCUUAAGACAAUGAGCAUGCCUCCUCCAUGCUUCGUUUCCCCUUGAUACCAAUUGGAAACUAUGGAAUCCCAGCUAAGACCAAAUAAUGAUAGUGCCCUACGAGAUGGCAGAGCAACAGGAUGAAAGGAAAUAAGCUGUUCUACAAAGGAUAGAUACACAAUAUAUUCAAUAAGAAGAAGCUUGGAGGGCUGACCCCAUGGCUGAGUGGAUAUCGUCUGUGGGAGAUAAUGUCUCCCAUUACACCUUGGUCUCAAAACACCAUCCUACCUGAGAUGAUGGUACUGACUCUCAUAAUAUUGGCCAAGCAUUGUUCUAAGUGGAAUACAGACAAUAUUUCGAUUAAUCCUCACAGCAAGCAUAUAGGAUAAAGACUAUGUUAUCCUCUUUAACACGUAAGAAAACUGAAGCUUAAUAAAGUG